rnacentral:tRNA from 1 species
GGGGCUGUAGUUCAGCUGGUUAGAACGCCGGCCUGUCACGUCGGAGGUCGCGAGUUCGAGUCUCGUCAGCCCCGCCA